UUAGAAUCUUAUCUGAUAUGCUGACUGUGCAAUAUGAGUCUCUACACGGAGUUUGACCAGUCUACUGUUCACCUGCAACAGUGGCGAGUCUAGGACGGUGCAGCAGCUCAGCAGGGUCUGGAGGGUGAGGGGCUGCCAGUGUUCAGGAGGCCUCAUGUCAAGGGAAACCUCUAUGUUCAGUUCACCAUCCAAUUCCCUGACUCUGGUUUCCUGGAGGAGAGUCAACUAAAGGAGUUGGAGUGUCUCCUGCCCACAGGACCUGACCCACCAGCACUGGACCCAGAGGCAGAGGAAGUGGAUAUGAUAGAGAGUGAGGGGACGAGGGGAGUGGGCGGGGCACAAGGGGAUGGAGCCAUAUACGAUGAAGAUGAGGAGGAUGAAGGAGUGGGCGGGGCACAGAGGGUGGGCUGCUCUCAACAGUGACACUCUUAGGAACUCUAUAUUCAUCGCUUUGAUUGUAUUUAUGGACUGGUUUUGUGGUUACUGCUAUUGUUCUAAUUAUGUGAAUAACGUUUGCCCAUACCACUCAUCAUAAUUAUUGUGAACGGUAAUAUUGAUUAGCAUGAGAC